rnacentral:rRNA from 1 species
UACGGAGGGUGCAAGCGUUAUCCGGAUUCACUGGGUUUAAAGGGUGCGUAGGUGGGCCGGUAAGUCAGUGGUGAAAUCUCCGGGCUUAACCCGGAAACUGCCAUUGAUACUAUUUGUCUUGAAUACUGUGGAGGUCAGCGGAAUAUGUCAUGUAGCGGUGAAAUGCUUAGAUAUGACAUAGAACACCAAUUGCGAAGGCAGCUGGCUACACAAAUAUUGACACUGAGGCACGAAAGCGUGGGGAGCAAACAGG